GGCGGUAUAGCUUAGUGGUAGAGUUCAUGUUUAGUAUGUACAAGAUCCUAGGUUCAAUUCCUAGUACCUCUG
rnacentral:tRNA from 1 species